rnacentral:lncRNA from 1 species
ACUCUGUGGUUGGGUAGAAGGUGCUGUGAAUCCUGCCAGGGAAAAAGAAGCAUCCGUGAUAAACCAGCCGACCACCUUGCCAGAUGGUACAGCCAUUGCCCCAUGUGCUGCUAUGGUUAUCUGCAGAAGACCUGUAAAUAUUCCAACACGCGGCACUGAAUGAACUCUGGGUUCUUAACACUGAAAAGGAGAGGACAUGAGGCUCGGAAAAGACCGGACCGUUUAAUGAGAUGCCGUGCUCAGGCGAUGUUUAUGCACUUGGAGUGCGAAGAAAGCAGGCUCAGCAAGCCACCAGAACCAAGCCAGUAAGCAGCACCUCUCCAUGGCCUCUGCAUCAGCUUCUGCCUCCGGGUUCCUGUCCUACCUUGUUUGAGUUCUUGUCCUGACUUCUUCCAUGAUGGAAGACUCUGUGGAAGCUUAAAUAAACCCUUUCCUCUCCG